ACUGAGGAGGAAGAGACCACAGAAGGUUCAGAGGUCGUCACACAUUGAAGCCGCCGUCACACAAAGCCAACAUGAAACCAGCAGCCGUUGCGCAGCUCUUUACUUUGGUCAGAAAAGAUCCACAACAAAUGUGAUCUGAGGCUGCCACACACCGACGCCCCCUGCUGGGCCCCCGGCCCACCAGCAGGUAAGGCAGGUGAAGCGAGUUGCCCAAUGACACGUCAGAGGCAGACAGAGAGAGAAUCAAACCGUCAACCCAACUGCAGGAGAAACUGCUACCGCCAUCGUCCUGCAAGUCACAAAGAUCUCUGGCUACUCGACUCACUCGGUCACAGGUGAAAUCAGAUCAAGUCAAACUUUAUUUUUACGCUCAUGAAAACAUCAUGGUGCAACCUCGAAGCCAAGUGCCAAGCGGGUUAGAGGAAGCAUCUGGACAGUACCAGCCAAAUGACCGCAGCAGCUGGGGAACCUCAGACUGUACAUUGAUCAGCUAGAAGAGCUGCUCACGUUGUCAGACUGUAGGAACUGAGACCAGAUCAGAUAAUACUCCCAGCCUGGAUCUUCAAGGGAAGCCUGAAGAUCUCACACUCCACACAGUUCAGCAAGAAGCUGCAUCAUCCAUGGUGGUUUCUCUUUCUCAGUAGCUCCUGCAUCACAACCUAGCAAGUCUUCCUAGAACAAACGUUCACAGCUAAACUUAGCCUGACAUACCUGUCCAGUUGAGGCCCUGCAGUAGAAAUGUCUCAGAGACAUUCCACUGCCAUCCAUUAAAGAAGUUUAAUGUUCCUGCUGGUUGGAUCAGAUUACCUACAUCUGGUUACACCAGUACAACCAGCACAUCUCGGUCUCCCUGAUUUACCUGCAGCAGUUCACACCAGGCUAGGAUGGACUUUACAAGGCCCAAGUCUGUUACGCCACCAACCGUCCCCACAGCAGUGCUUCACGACUUCAGUGACCCUCCAGAAACUGAGCCAAGUCACAUAGAGAAGCUGUGGCAGCUGAAUAUGCUGCCAAACAGAAGUGAUCGGUUGAUCACCAGGUCGAGGCAAGACAUGGAGGAAGUCUGCAUACUAGAACAGGAGACUAAUGGUUGAUGGUGUGAACAGGUAUGUAACUCCAUAGCUAUGGAAAAGGAACGGCCCUGUACCCCAUGCAGCUAAAGAAGCUGUCCUGCUCCAGCUGAAUGGGACAGAGAAACGGCCAGUGGAAGAUCGUCGCGCAGCGUCUUUGGGACAAGAAGACGUUUCCUGAAGCUUCUGCUCCACGCUUGGACGUCAUGGUUACUCAAUUGUCCCAGACAACCUUACCCAGAUGCUACACUGACUGCAACUCAGACUGGACUGACCAAUCAGAUCAAUCCAUGUGUUUCAUGGUGCAUCUGAUUGGACUUAUGGAUCAGUGGUGUAUCCGCGCAGUGACGAUGGUGAUGGAGAAGUACAAGUGGCGUGAUUAGCUUCCACAUCCAAAGAAUCCAAAGAAGCUGUUAUUGAUAGAACGACUGCAGUUGUGUGGCUGUUUGCUGGGGCAGCUUCAGUGCUGCUCAAAGAACUCAUCAAGAUCCAAGAGGUGGCCUGCUGUUUCCAUAACGGUACCAACUGGCUUCAGGCCCACUCCUGCACAUAUAAAGUGUUUGUAGGCAGCAGAGAUAAAGGAACUGCCAGACAUCAGAGCUGCUACGUUGAAUCAGCCACUACCAGACGUGUUGCAUCCCAUUUUACUUUUGUCGUCUCACCCAGUCUCCAAACUCCUGAUCUAUCAUGACAAUCAACUGGACCGCCUGCAGAGUGUGGAGAAAGUCCUGGCCGUUUGCAGGAGAAUUGGCCAGGAAGCACCAGAAGCUGUGUGGACUGCAGAAAGGCCGACCUCAAGCCUCCAGGAUGGAAACUCACCUCCCUCCUUUUCCGUCUGAUUUUCUGUUUCCUCGUUUUUCCCCCAUGAAGGUAAAGGCAGCAGGAUGCAGAGAAAGCAGAUGGGGCAUCCUGCUCUGGAGAACCUCACCACAACGUUCCCCCUGACCUGCUGCUGGGUUCCCUGACGUUCUCUACAGAACCUCAGAGGCCAGAACCAACAGAGCUGCUCCCUGCAGAGGUCACGGGGUCAGAAGCCAUUAAUCCAACCAUGCUGGGUUUCAGAGACUUAUUUAGGGCUCUGGAGAUGUUUGGCCAACAGAAGGUUCAACAAUCUAAAUGUCUGUUUCUCUCCAAAAACGGAGGGAAUCGCCAUAGCAACCAGUGAAUUAAAGGUGUUUUCUCCA